rnacentral:rRNA from 1 species
UACGAAGGGGGCUAGCGUUGCUCGGAAUCACUGGGCGUAAAGCGCACGUAGGCGGUUUCUUAAGUCAGGGGUGAAAUCCUGGAGCUCAACUCCAGAACUGCCUUCGAUACUGGCGAUCUCGAGUUCGGGAGAGGUGAGUGGAACUGCGAGUGUAGAGGUGAAAUUCGUAGAUAUUCGCAAGAACACCAGUGGCGAAGGCGGCUCACUGGCCCGAUACUGACGCUGAGGUGCGAAAGCGUGGGGAGCAAACAGG